AAAAAUCCAUGAAACUUACCAUUUUUUAAAAAUAUGGGUCUUUAACUCAUAUAGUCUAAAUUGCUAUAUGAUAUUACAUGAAGGAUCCAAAUUACUAAUAAAUUUCAUAAAAGCUCUAAAUGAACUAGUAUAUUACAUAAAUGUAGGCUCAAAUUACUUUAAUACUCAUUCAUAUUAUUUAAUUGAUUUAUAACAAAUAUCUAAAUGAAAAAAAUCAUGGAAUAUAGUUUUGAAAAGAAGUGGGGCCCAAAUUAAUUUAAUACGAAUUUCUAUUAUUUAAUUGAUUUAUAACAAAUAUCUAAAUGGAAAAAAUAAUGAGAUACGAUUUUGGAAAGAAGUGGAAAACUUUUCAUGCUUUCCUUCCACGAAAACGGUUGUCUACUCCUUCCAACGUGGAUUACGAUUUUUACUUCGAAAUGUUAGAGAGUUCGGAGGUAAAGAAGAAGACAGUCGACGACCGACAAAUACAAAACUUCUCGAACAUAAUCUAGUUAAAAACUUCGAGGUUAAUAUUGUAUAUAUUCAACACAUAUGAAACAUUAGGUAUAUUAGGUAUAUUUUAGAUAUUCAAUUAAAUAGUUAAUCAAAUGAAAAUGUAGUUUUGAAUGUGAUACAUUUUAGGGUUUAUUGAGAUUUCGACGGUAAAGAAGAAAACUUUCGAUGGCCGAAAAAUACAAAACUUAUCCGAUAGAAUCUAGCUAGGAAUUUUGUGAUUAAUAUUAUAUAUAUUUAAAACAAAUGAAACAUUCGGUAUAUUAGGUAUAUUUUAGAUUAUAUUCAAAACAUAUGAUGAUAGAACUAAGUCAUGCACAGCGGAAAAAGAAUCGAAUUUCUACCCUAAUUGCCACAAUUAACAUGUAACCAUAAACUAAUCAAAUUAGGGUUUUAAGAAAUAUUACCUUUGAAGCUUUCAAAAGGUUUGAUAUCUUCUUACCAAUUCUAACCGAGACCACCACUAGUACUCAACUGCUAUCCUCUAGACAAAGAACCGGGUUGUGAGACCUAAUUUUGGUGUAGAAAGUAAUGGAGAUAAAAUGGGAUUGGAAGGUUUUUUUUUCUUUGUUGAGAUGAUGAAAAUGAUAAAAGAGGCAAAAGUUUUUUCAACAUUUGAAAACACCUCCAUUUAUAACCUAAUUACAUGCAAAAAUGCAUGCAAUUCAUUUGCCAAAUCUCAUCACCUAAUGUUCCACUAACAAUUAGUGGAACUUAGUGGGCUAGGUGUCUAUAUCUCAUAUAGCCACAUAUCCCACUAAGAGUUAGUGG
rnacentral:lncRNA from 1 species